UACGGAGGAUCCAAGCGUUAUCCGGAAUCAUUGGGCGUAAAGAGCUCGUAGGCGGUCUGUCGCGUCGGUCGUGAAAACUUGGGGCUUAACCCCGAGCUUGCGGUCGAUACGGGCAUGACUGGAGUUCGGCAGGGGAGACUGGAAUUCCUGGUGUAGCGGUGAAAUGCGCAGAUAUCAGGAGGAACACCGGUGGCGAAGGCGGGUCUCUGGGCCGAUACUGACGCUGAGGAGCGAAAGCGUGGGGAGCAAACAGG
rnacentral:rRNA from 1 species